rnacentral:rRNA from 1 species
GGGCCCGCACAAGCAGUGGAGUAUGUGGUUUAAUUCGAAGCAACGCGAAGAACCUUACCAGGUCUUGACAUCGAGUGACGAACAUAGAGAUAUGUUUUUCCUUCGGGACACGAAGACAGGUGGUGCAUGGUUGUCGUCAGCUCGUGUCGUGAGAUGUUGGGUUAAGUCCCGCAACGAGCGCAACCCUUAUCAUUAGUUGCUACGCAAGAGCACUCUAGUGAGACUGCCGUUGACAAAACGGAGGAAGGUGGGGAUGACGUCAAAUCAUCAUGCCCCUUAUGACCUGGGCUACACACGUACUACAAUGGCGAUGAAACAGAGGGAAGCAAGACAGCGAUGUGGAGCCAAUCCCAAAAAAUCGCCCCAGUUCAGAUUGCAGGCUGCAACCCGCCUGCAUGAAGUCGGAAUUGCUAGUAAUCGCAGAUCAGCAUGCUGCGGUGAAUACGUUCCCGGGCCUU